GCCAGUUGUGGUGGUGCACAUCUGUAGUCCCAGCUACUCCGGAGGCUGAGACAGGAGGAUCACUUGAGCCCAGGAGGUCAAGGCUGCAGUGAGUCAUGAUUGAACCAUUCCACUCCUGCCUGGGCAACAGAGCAAGACCUUGUCUCCA
rnacentral:sRNA from 13 species